UACGGAGGGGGCUAGCGUUGUUCGGAAUUACUGGGCGUAAAGCGCACGUAGGCGGCUUUGUAAGUCAGAGGUGAAAUCCCGGGGCUCAACUCCGGAACUGCCUUUGAGACUGCAUCGCUUGAAUCCGGGAGAGGGAUGUGGAAUUCCAGGUGUAGCGGUGAAAUGCGUAGAUAUCUGGAGGAACACCGGUGGCGAAGGCGACAUCCUGGACCGGUAUUGACGCUGAGGCGCGAAAGCCAGGGGAGCAAACAGG
rnacentral:rRNA from 1 species